rnacentral:rRNA from 1 species
CACGUAGUUAGCCGGUGCUUCUUUACCCAUUACCGCCACUCACGCUUCGUCACAGGCGAAAGCGGUUUACAACCCGAAGGCCGUCAUCCCGCACGCGGCGUUGCUGCAUCAGGCUUCCGCCCAUUGUGCAAUAUUCCCCACUGCUGCCUCCCGUAGGAGUCUGGGCCGUAUCUCAGUCCCAAUGUGGCCGGUCACCCUCUCAGGCCGGCUACCCGUCAAAGCCUUGGUAAGCCACUACCCCACCAACAAGCUGAUAAGCCGCGAGUCCAUCCCCAACCGCCGAAACUUUCCAACCCCCACCAUGCAGCAGGAGCUCCUAUCCGGUAUUAGCCCCAGUUUCCUGAAGUUAUCCCAAAGUCAAGGGCAGGUUACUCACGUGUUACUCACCCGUUCGCCACUCGAGCACCCCACAAAAGCAGGGCCUUUCCGUUCGACUUGCAUGUGUUAAGCACGCCGCCAGCGUUCGUCCUGAGCCAGGAUCAAACUCU